rnacentral:rRNA from 1 species
UACAGAGGGGGCAAACGUUGUCCGGAAUUAUUGGGCGUAAAGAGCUCGUAGGUGGCCUGUCGCGUCGGCUGUGAAAACUCGGGGCUCAACUCCGAGCUUGCAGUCGAUACGGGCAGGCUAGAGUUCGGCAGGGGAGACUGGAAUUCCUGGUGUAGCGGUGAAAUGCGCAGAUAUCAGGAGGAACACCGGUGGCGAAGGCGGGUCUCUGGGCCGAUACUGACACUGAGGAGCGAAAGCGUGGGGAGCGAACAGG